GUUGAAAUACCGGUUCACAUACGAUCACCGACGUUAAGCAACGUCGAGCUUGGUCAGUACCUAAAUGGAUGACCGCUUGGGAAUACCACUUGCU